rnacentral:misc_RNA from 1 species
UGCAGUUCUUGCACAGAUUGCUUUGGCUGGUAAGAAGAGCAAGGCAAUCUCAAUAUUGAGCAUAAUAAUAAUAAUAAAAUAAAAUAAAAUAAAAUCUUAUCUUGCGUUAUCUCUUUAAGAAUUAUAACUUUCAUUCUCAGAAAUGAUUUCCUGUAACAUAACAAUCCAAACAACGCAGAGCUAAGAAAGGCUCUGACCAAAUAACAUAAUCAAAAUCGCUAGAUGCUUCAACCAACUCGUGAGCAAUCUUGUUAGCUUCUCAAAGAAUCCAACGAAGGGAGAAGUCCAUUCCAUGCUGGAUAUAUUAUUAUUCAGACAUUGUGAACAAAACACUAUACAGCUGACCUUAGCAAAAUGCAUAUUUUGUUGAGAAUUGUUGAUUAUACAGGCCUUAAUAAUUAAGGCAUAUUGUUUUUUUAUUUAUACAAAUGAAUUAAUGAUGAGGAUGAGUGGUCAUACUAGACUAGAUAAA